rnacentral:rRNA from 1 species
AUUGAACUGAAGAGUUUGAUCCUGGCUCAGAUUGAACGCUGGCGGCAUGCCUUACACAUGCAAGUCGAACGGCAGCACGGGUGCUUGCACCUGGUGGCGAGUGGCGAACGGGUGAGUAAUACAUCGGAACG